AGAGUUUGAUCCUGGCUCAGGACGAACGCUGGCGGCGUGCCUAACACAUGCAAGUCGAGCGGAGACAGUGAGUAGCUUGCUAUGAGCUGUUUUAGCGGCGGACGGGUGAGUAACGCGUGAGCAACCUUUCCCAGACAGGGGAAUAACACACCGAAAGGUGUACUAAUACCGCAUAAGACCACGGGAUCGCAUGGUUCUGAGGUAAAAGAUUUAUCGGUUUGGGGUGGGCUCGCGUCCGAUUAGGUAGUUGGUGAGGUAACGGCCCACCAAGCCGACGAUCGGUAGCCGACCUGAGAGGGUGAUCGGCCACAUUGGGACUGAGACACGGCCCAAACUCCUACGGGAGGCAGCAGUGGGGAAUAUUGCACAAUGGGGGAAACCCUGAUGCAGCGACGCCGCGUGAGCGAAGAAGUAUUUCGGUAUGUAAAGCUCUAUCAGCAGGGAAGAAAAUGACGGUACCUGACUAAGAAGCCCCGGCUAACUACGUGCCAGCAGCCGCGGUAAUACGUAGGGGGCAAGCGUUGUCCGGAAUAAUUGGGCGUAAAGGGCGCGUAGGCGGCUCGGUAAGUCUGGAGUGAAAGUCCUGCUUUUAAGGUGGGAAUUGCUUUGGAUACUGUCGGGCUUGAGUGCAGGAGAGGUUAGUGGAAUUCCCAGUGUAGCGGUGAAAUGCGUAGAGAUUGGGAGGAACACCAGUGGCGAAGGCGACUAACUGGACUGUAACUGACGCUGAGGCGCGAAAGUGUGGGGAGCAAACAGGAUUAGAUACCCUGGUAGUCCACACUGUAAACGAUGAAUGCUAGGUGUAGGGGGUAUCGACCCCUUCUGUGCCGCAGUCAACACAAUAAGCAUUCCGCCUGGGGAGUACGGCCGCAAGGUUGAAACUCAAAGGAAUUGACGGGGGCCCGCACAAGCA
rnacentral:rRNA from 1 species